rnacentral:sRNA from 1 species
CCUCCCAAGGACACUUGCAGCCCGGAGCUGCUCAUGUCCCUGAUCCAGACAAAGUGUGCCGAUGACGCCAUGACCCUGGUACUAAAGAAAGAGCUUGUUGCGCAUUUGAAGUGCACCAUCACGGGCCUGACCUUCUGGGACCCCAGCUGUGAGGCGGAGGACAGGGGUGACAAGUUUGUCUUGCGCAGCGCUUACUCCAGCUGUGGCAUGCAGGUGUCAGCAAGUAUGAUCAGCAAUGAGGCGGUGGUCAAUAUCCUGUCGAGCUCAUCACCACAGCGGGUGAGAUGGACAGUCACGUGCUAACUCACCUGGCCCAGGGGCUGCUGCUGGGCCGGGGCCUCUUCCUGGCUUGGGAGGGAGCAGGCCUCGGGAAACUCCUGGCAAGCCAUGUGUCUGGCAUGCCUGGGUCUCCCUUUCUAUAUGACCGGAGCAGGACUGCUGAGGGUGACACUCUCAGUCUCUCAAGUCAGAGGGCUUAGCACAUACUGGCUGUGUGGCCUUGGCAAGUCACUUUAGUUUUCUGGGCCCAAAGGUGGCCUAAGAAAGGACUCUGCGCCACAGGGUGCUUCUGGGCAGCCAAUGAGGUGCUGUGUGGAAGCUCUUCACACAGCCUGGCAGCUGGUGCCUCCUUGAUAAAUAUUAGUUUAAAAAAAAAAAA